AUGUCCCCCAGCCCACACCACCACCAAUUCACAACAUUCACACCUACAGUCACACACUCCCCAUAUGUCCCCCAGCCCACACUCCCAUCAAUUCACAACAUUCACACCUACAGUCACACACACCCCAUAUGUCCCCCAGCCCACACCACCACCAAUUCACAACAUUCACACCUACAGUCACACACUCCCCAUAUGUCCCCCAGCCCACACUCCCAUCAAUUCACAACAUUCACACCUACAGUCACACACUUCCCAUAUGUACCCCAGCCCACACUCCCACCAAUUCACAACAUUCACACCUACAGUCACACACUCCCCAUAUGUACCCCAGUCCACACUCCCACCAAUUCACAACAUUCACACCUACAGUCACACACUCCCCAUAUGUCCCCCAGCCCACACUCCCAUCAAUUCACAACAUUCACACCUACAGUCACACACUCCCCAUAUGUCCCCCAGCCCACACUCCCACCAAUUCACAACAUUCACACCUACAGUCACACACUCCCCAUAUGUCCCCCAGCCCACCAAUUCACAACAUUCACACCUACAGUCACACACUCCCCAUAUGUCCCCCAGCCCACACUCCCAUCAAUUCACAACAUUCACACCUACAGUCACACACUCCCCAUAUGUCCCCCAGCCCACACCACCACCAAUUCACAACAUUCACACCUACAGUCACACACUCCCCAUAUGUCCCCCAGCCCACACUCCCAUCAAUUCACAACAUUCACACCUACAGUCACACACUUCCCAUAUGUCCCCCAGCCCACCAAUUCACAACAUUCACACCUACAGUCACACACACCCCAUAUGUCCCCCAGCCCACACUCCCACCAAUUCACAACAUUCACACCUACAGUCACACACUUCCCAUAUGUCCCCCAGCCCACACUCCCACCAAUUCACAACAUUCACACCUACAGUCACACACUCCCCAUAUGUCCCCCAGCCCAUCAAUUCACAACAUUCACACCUACAGUCACACACACCCCAUAUGUCCCCCAGCCCACACUCCCACCAAUUCACAACAUUCACACCUACAGUCACACACACCCCAUAUGUCCCCCAGCCCACACUCCCAUCAAUUCACAACAUUCACACCUACAGUCACACACACCCCAUAUGUCCCCCAGCCCACACUCCCACCAAUUCACAACAUUCACACCUACAGUCACACACUCCCCAUAUGUCCCCCAGCCCACACCACCACCAAUUCACAACAUUCACACCUACAGUCACACACUCCCCAUAUGUCCCCCAGCCCACACUCCCACCAAUUCACAACAUUCACACCUACAGUCACACACUCCCCAUAUGUCCCCCAGCCCACACUCCCACCAAUUCACAACAUUCACACCUACAGUCACACACUCCCCACAUGUCCCCCAGCCCAUCAAUUCACAACAUUCACACCUACAGUCACAAACAUUUCCUCAAUCGACAUAUGCACCUCUCACUGGGUGGGUGAGGAACACUAGUGUGUGCACCUGUGUGUGUGCACCUGUGCGCGUGUGUAUGUGUGUGUGUAUAUGUAUGUACGUCACAGUGUGUGUGUGUGAGUGUGAGUAUAUGUAUGUACGUCACAGUGUGUGUGUGUGUGUGUGUGUGUGUGUGUGUGUGUGUGUAUAUGUAUGUACGUCACUGUGUGUGUGUGUGUGUGUGUGUGUGUGUGUGUGUGUGUGUUACCUGCUGGUUGGGCACGCUGAAGGGUUUGGAGCUGAGGAUGGAGGCUGGCAGCUUGACUCUGUGUCUGCGUGGGUUCCCUGCCACGUCCACCUGGGUACUGCCAGGCCCAAUCCCACCACCAUGCUGCUGCUUCACUGUAGAGACACCAUGAGAGCUGUCCCCUACAGGAGAACACACACAGAUCUAGAUAUCAGUAACACAGUAACACAUACAAGAAAGACCAUGAUGACUGAUUUAUAUACAGUAGGUGUCUGCAAACUGUUGGGAAAAUGGUGUUUGACCAAAUAG
ensembl:lncRNA